GAACAAGCAUGAGAAGGGCAUCUGGUGGAUGCCUUGGCACUGAGAGGCGA
rnacentral:rRNA from 1 species